GCCAGCGCAGGAUGCACCCUGGCUCUGCGCUCCUGCGGGCGGGCUCGGGCUGCGGCUCUCUGGUUUCGUCACUUGGAAGCCAGGGAACAAGUUUGGAAAGAAACCUCUCACCAGGUCUCUGUUGUUAAAGAAAACGGCGGCCUUCUCCCAUCGAGAGACUUCACUGCUGGACUGAAGAACCUUAUUGCUUCAUUCCUUUUUCCUGGGACAUUCACAAAUGACAACAGAUGGAUCCAAAUUGGCUGCUUGGCCAAAGAAGAGAAGAGGAAUUUACUCUGAUUCACUAUGCUUCUUGCACAAUCCCUCUCUGACUUACUAACCAAUUCAAUUAAGCCUAAAUUAAGCACUUACUACUGCCGUCACUCCCUGCAUAAGAACAUUUCGGUCAACAAUAAAUUGCCUAAGAUUAGUACCAUGUAGCCUCGGUGUGUAGGAGGCUAUACCAUCUAGGUUUGUGUAAGUACUACAGGGGAGGAAGAAAUUUUCCUCUACCCUCUAGGUUCUUCUGGCUGGUCUAAGAAUUAAAUGGACGUCAGACAGAUUAACAGGAGAAAAUCAAAAGUUUAAUUAAAUGUAUACAUGGGAGAAACCUGGGAAAACUAAGUAACUCGCCAAAAUGGCCAGAGCCCUCCCCUUAAAUACCGUCCUCAGCUAAAGACAAAAGGGCAUGUUGGGAGUGGGAGAGUCAGAGACUUCAAGGGAAGGAAGACAACUCACAGGUAGGUGAAAAGGAGCAAACAUUUGAAAAACAAGUGUUUGGCCACACAGAAACAGAAGAACACAGAGGGGGCCCCUACAAACAGGUUCCUCCCUGUCUACCCCCUAGUUCAUGUGAUGCCAAGGUGAUAGCUUGCUUCCUGAAACCGGUUUUUUAAUCUGGAUUCUUUUAGGCUGUUCGGAGGGGGUGGGGCAGUAACAAGAAAAACCUUCUGAGUCUUUUGUUUUUUAGAAAUAAUCAGCCUAAAAUAAUCCUCACGUUAAAGAGACACACUUUGGGGUGGCAAAUUUUGUUCCCCUUCAGUACACUCUAUGAUGGUUGCACAACCACCAAAUUGCCUAAAGACGCAUCUUUCAGAACAUCUCCCCAUCCUGAAGCGACAGGUGACUGUGCGUGCCCCCUACUGUGUGCAGGGCACAGUGUUAAGUUCUCUGCAGAGACAAAGAUGCGCAAUAAAAAGCUUCAGCUUACAAAGCAUUUUCUGUCUGGUUGGAAAGUCAGGUAAAUAUUCAUACACAGCCUAAUUAGAAUGAUCAAGAGUGUGUGCUUUUUCCUGCAAUUACCUCAUCUAAAGGUAUGAACUCCAUGUCAUGUAUCAGGAAGAAAUCCUUUUGGUGCAAGUAACUAAGAGUCUAACUCAAUCACGUGAAUUUUCAGUCUGUGCCUGGUCCAGAAUCUCAUUUUUCUCUCACUGUUUUUUGGUUCUACUUCCUCAACUUAUAUGCGUUCCUGGGCAGGCUCUUUCAUUUGUGGGUCCAAGAUGGCUACCAGUGUCUUCCAGAGCUGCAAGCUUCCCUGUGUAUGUCUACCAGGAACGACAGCUUAGAUCUCCAGGUCGCUAAAAUGCAGGUCCUUCAAAUUAGCCCCAGGGGCCACAGUUGGUCUGAUCUGGAUCACUAAUCCAUCCUUGAACCAGGGUGACUGUAGUGAGAGGUUUGGGAUAAGCCAAUGGGCUCAUGACAGUAAGUUCUGCAGCUGGAGGCAAGGCCCCAUGCAGACAAUGUGGCUGGGAAAUUUAAGGUCCUAUUUGAGAAGGGGACAGUAUGAGACUAGAUUCUGGGGAAGUAACUACAAAUAUCCCCCUUACCCCAUGCUUUGUCUUCAUUAACUGCUUCUGCAAAACACUGGCACUCUUUUGUAGUUGUGUGCUGCUAAGUAUUUAACAGCUGGUUCUAUAGGAGAAAAAAGCUCCCUUUGUAGCAUUUUCUCAGUUGCAUGGUGUAAAUGCUCUCACCACGGCUGACUGAAUGCAGAAUCAGGAAGAAGUGUAAUGGCACACCAGUCUAUGGCAUGCCCAUCAUCCAGGUACGCUAGAUGCAGAUAACCCCAAGAGGAGAGAAAAUCGUAACAUAUAGUAAUGUGAUUAAGAAGUGAUGAGUUUUACAUAUGCAUUCCCUUUAUUUCAAUAUCAUUUAUUUAGUUAUAAGUUUAAAUAAUUUAAUAAUGGCUAUGUUUAACAACUGACUUGCAAAAUUCCUGGAAACCUCACAGUUGGCUCUCAUGGGCCAGCCCCAGCCAGCCCCAGCAUGCCCAGGCUUUUUGCACUGAACACUUCAUCAUGUUCACUUUUAAAAGGUAUUUAUUUGUAGGUUCUUCGCAUGUGCCUGAUUCCAUCUUCGGCUGUCUACGAGAGUCAGAGUUAAGGUGGGCUUCUGAGGAAUGGCCUAAAAGAAAUGGAGCCAGAGGAAAUGUCCAAACAAAGACUCACCAGACAGAGGACUUUGAAGAGUGAAAUCAAGAGGCACCGUCUGCGCAUAGGGACAACAGUCAAGUCCAGGGCUGAAGACUAGAGACAAAGUGGAGGGACAGAAGCUGGAGAAAUAUGAGGAAAUUGAGUCUUACAGAGAUAAAUAACUUGCCCAAGGUCAGAUAACUAGUGAAUCGUGGAACUGGGAUUUUAGCUCAAAUCUGCCUGAGGCAAUGAGUACAGAAUCCCAUGCUCCAAACAGAGUGAGCUAGGCAAAGGAGAAGGGCUGUGUGAAAGGGAAGCCAGAGUCACCUCCGUCCAACCUCCUGUUUCUGGGAGGCCAGGUCCAGACGUGGUGCAAGAAACAGCCAAAUCAUUAACCAUCGAUAGAACCCGGGAAUGCAACUGCAAACGAAUAAACAUCUUAUAGUGAUACCAAGGCCCCUUCCAUCAUUUCUCAGCUUUUUCUGAGGGCUCAAGUAGACAGGGGUAUGCACAGCACAGAUUGGGUUGGGGAUACACUGUGAAGCUUGGAGUGACUUGCUUCACAGUGAAAGACAUAGUAAAUUACUUGUGUCCUACGUGUUGUAUAAUACUAAUCAACUUGAUUUUUCUUAUGUUCUUCUUUGAAGUCACAUAACAUAGAAUCUUAUGCCUAGGAGAUUUCUUAGACAGCUUUUAAUCUAACUCCCAGUGCAGGAGAGGAAUAUUCUCAAUCAUAUUACUGGCAAGUAGCCACUGAUGUCUGUCAGAACUUCUCCAGGGAUGGAGAAAAAGAGCAGUUUAUUCCGUUAUUGGAAACUGUUUAUUGCUGAGCUGAGCUUUACAUCCUGGUACUGUCUACCUGCUGCGACCCUCUAUUAUAUCAUGUCUGCUGGCUAUGACAUACUCAUACUGGGCAGGUCGCUUGACUUUUCCUUUUAGUUUAAACUGCCCGGCCCGUUGACCCUCUGGCAACACGUGAAUGAGUCAGGAGCAAACAGCUGACUCAAGAAUUAUUCCCCCUUGAGAAUUUGAACCAAGGAACACUGAGACUCAGUGAUCAUAAAACAUUUCACUGUGGCUCCCCCAGAAUUUAGAUUCUGAAUGCCAGUGGGACCUACUAUAGAGAAAACAAAGCCCAAAUGGAAAGACUGACUGUAUCUUGAAUCAUUGUG